rnacentral:rRNA from 1 species
UUCCGGUUGAUCCUGCCGGAGGUUACUGCUAUCGGUGUUCGACUAAGCAUGCGAGUCAUAUGUUCUUCGUGAACAUGGCGGACUGCUCAGUAACACGUGGAUAACCUGCCCUUAGGUUUGGCAUAACUCCGGGAAACUGGAGAUAAUUCCGAAUAGGUCAAAUAUGCUGGAAUGCUUUUUGGCCAAAAGACCUUGGUUGCCUAAGGAUGGAUCUGCGGUCUAUCAGGUAGUAGUGGGUGUAACGUACCUACUAGCCUACGACGGAUAUGGGUUGUGAGAGCAAGAGCCCAGAGAUGGAUUCUGAGACAUGAAUCCAGGCCCUACGGGGCGCAGCAGGCGCGAAAACUUUACAAUGCGGGAAACCGCGAUAAGGGGACACCGAGUGCCAGCAUUUAUGUUGGCUGUCCACAUGUGUAAACGGCAUGUGUUAGCAAGGGCCGGGCAAGACCGGUGCCAGCCGCCGCGGUAACACCGGCGGCCCGAGUGGUAAUCACUUUUAUUGGGUCUAAAGGGUCCGUAGCCGGUUUGAUCAGUUCUUCGGGAAAUCUGACAGCUCAACUGUUAGGCUUCCGGGGAAUACUGUCAGACUUGGGACCGGGAGAGGUAAGAGGUACUACAGGGGUAGGAGUGAAAUCUUGUAAUCCCUGUGGGACCACCAGUGGCGAAGGCGUCUUGCCAGAACGGGUCCGACGGUGAGGGACGAAAGCUGGGGGCACGAACCGGAUUAGAUACCCGGGUAGUCCCAGCCGUAAACGAUGUUCGCUAGGUGUCAGGGGCGGUGCGACGCUUCUGGUGCCGUAGGGAAGCCGUGAAGCGAACCACCUGGGAAGUACGGCCGCGAGGCUGAAACUUAAAGGAAUUGGCGGGGGAGCACUACAACGGGUGGAGCCUGCGGUUUAAUUGGAUUCAACGCCGGA